UCAAGGGACAUAAGACAAUUUUGUAUGGCUCGGUCAGCACCACCCAACACAUUCAGAUGGCGCACUCAGCAGAAGCCUGCAGCAACUGUACGCCGGCGACAGCCCGUUCGGGAGGAGCCGCGGCUACGGCCACGACUUGGAUUGGAUAUUGGGCCACCACCGGGCGAGGCCCAACAAGCGGCUCUCCGAGUUCUUGGGCGGUCCCGGCAAGCGAUACUCCGAAUUCCUGGGUGGUCCUGGAAAAAGAUACUCCGAAUUUCUGGGUGGCCCGGGAAAGCGCUACUCGGAGUUCCUCGGCGGCCCCGGAAAGCGGUCCGUUGCCGAUGACGUCAUGGCUGCUGCGGCCGAGCGCGGUCUGCUCCAUUCGGCGGAGCAGCAGGAGCCAGGCUCCGCCGCCAGCACCCUCCGGAAGUGACGCGUCCUCUGACGUAUUUGCGCCGAGAAAAAAAAAAAGUCAUGACCGAUCAAAACCUUUCAUCUCCCUUCAUUAUAGUUUGCACACUUCGUUGUCCUGUUGAGGAUGAACGUGCUUUGUUAUAUAUGCGCCUUGAACGAAAGAAAAAUAAACGUCGCUAAAUGACGGCCCAGCCUGAAGACGUUGUGAAAACACCACUAUAUUGUUAGCAAGAAUCUUGCGUUUCCGAUCACCUCGGCCUGCCUGUUGCGAAUGUAGGCUUCCAAUGGGUUCGUUUCGAUUACAAAAUUCCUACCUACCUGAUCAGUAGUUAUCUGUAAUUAUUCGCUCUUAUUCGUCGGAUGUGAGUCCAUCCGUAUAUGACUCUCUCGGCGAUGCAAUUACAAACUGCUCGCAUCUGCAGCCGUAGGUAUUCUGUAAAUAAAUUGUGUCUAUUCCUCUAUCUCUCUCUCUCUCUCGUCUUGACGUGUGAUAUGUAACGACAUGUGAUGUAUACCUCCUGUCCUUAUCACGAGAUACACCGCAUUAAGAGAGAAUAGCUGACCUGCGUUAUCACUAUGGGUCGUGGACUAAAAUAAACGAAUGUGUUAUUUCUUUUCUUUUUAUCCGUCGACCGCCCACGCGAACCGACUAAUACAUGAGCUUCGAUGAACCAUUUUCAUAGUUCUGCUAUCUUACUGCUUUAAUUGAUCUAUCAGUAUACGCACGCCUGCUCUGUUUUCUUCAAAAGAACUUGAGGGCAGUGUUAUCGUUAAUGCCCUGCGAUGAGAAGAAAAUGUGAAAAUUAUAAAGUAAACAAUUGAGAUCUACCGUUUCGCUUGUAAACAUGCGUUUGAGAGUAACAGAGAAACACUGACCGUCUUAUCUGAAGUUUGAGUGCUACUUUUCCAAUCAUCUCAACCGACGUGGCGAACACAUUCACUGGCAAUACUGAACACAACAUGACGUCAGAGGCAUCCUAUUGAUAAGCAGACCGAAGCGUGCCGGGGACUUUGCUGUUUAAAACACGCGGAGAUUGUGUAACACGUUAACAUUAUGAAAUCAAAACUAUACAACAAUGGGUGACCGUUCAUUUUCCCGCCGUGUCCUUGUCGCAGGCUUCUUGUCUAGUCGCCCCAAAUGUGUUGACCGAUGCUUUUUUGCAGAGAAGAACGCCGAGUGACUUCAAAGAUAAUGAGAAAUAAAAACAAAAUACAAUCAAAAAUAAAGACUUACCGUUGAUAUAGAUCGUGACCUAUGAUGUCGAACAAAACAAUAAAAAGUACAGUUGGGUUAUAAACACCUGCUUUGUCUUCA
rnacentral:misc_RNA from 1 species